UGGCUCAGGACGAACGCUGGCGGCGUGCCUAACACAUGCAAGUCUACGAGAAUGAGGUAGCAAUAUCUCUAGUAAAGUGGCGCACGGGUGAGUAACACGUAAGCAAUCUGCCCUUAGAUCUGGAAUAACCACGAGAAAUCGUGGCUAAUACCGGAUAAUGCAGCGGCACCGCAUGGUGAUGUUGUUAAAGUUUCGACGUCUAAGGAUGAGCUUGCGUCUGAUUAGCUAGUUGGUGAGGUAACGGCCCACCAAGGCAACGAUCAGUAGCUGGUCUGAGAGGAUGAUCAGCCACACUGGAACUGAGACACGGUCCAGACUCCUACGGGAGCAGCAGUGAGGAAUAUUGGGCAAUGCCCGCAAGGGGGUGACCCAGGCAACGCCGCGUGGGAGGGAUGAAUGGCCGUAAGGGUUGUAAACUCCUGUUAGAGGGGGACGAAUAAUUCCGAUUGCAUCGGGAACUUGACGGUACCCUCAGAGAAAGCCCCGGG
rnacentral:rRNA from 1 species